ACCCUGUAGAACCGAAUUUGUGU
rnacentral:ncRNA from 12 species